rnacentral:rRNA from 1 species
CCGAAUCCUGACACAGGGAGGUAGUGACAAGAAAUAACAAUACAGGGCUACAUCUAGUCUUGUAAUUGGAAUGAGUACAAUUUACAUCUCUUCACGAGGAUCAAUUGGAGGGCAAGUCUGGUGCCAGCAGCCGCGGUAAUUCCAGCUCCAAUAGCGUAUAUUAAAGUUGUUGCAGUUAGAACGCUCGUAGUCGGAUUUCGGGGCGGGCCGACCGGUCUGCCGAUGGGUACGCACUGGUCGGCGCGUCCUUCCUUCCGGAGACUGUGCCUACUCUUAACUGAGCGGGGGCGGGAGACGGAUCGUUUACUUUGAAAAAAUCAGAGUGUUUCAAGCAGGCAGCUCGCUCUUGCAUGGAUUAGCAUGGGAUAAUGAAAUAGGACUUUGGUGCUAUUUUGUUGGUUUCGAACACCGAAGUAAUGAUUAAAAGGGACAGUCAGGGGCACUCGUAUUCCGCCGUGAGAGGUGAAAUUCUCAGACCAGCGGAAGACGAACCACUGCGAAAGCAUUUGCCAGGGAUGUUUUCACUGAUCAAGAACGAAAGUUAGGGGAUCGAAGAGGAUCAGAUACCCUCGUAGUCUUAACCAUAAACCAUGCCGACUAGGGAUUGGGGGAUGUUCAC